rnacentral:rRNA from 1 species
CGAACGGGGAGCAGCCCAGAGUCUGAAUCAGCUUGUGUGUUAGUGGAACGGUCUGGAAAGUCCGACGGUACAGGGUGAUAGUCCCGUACACCAAAAUGCACAGGCUGUGAACUCGAAGAGUAGGGCGGGACACGUGGUAUCCUGUCUGAAUAUGGGGGGACCAUCCUCCAAGGCUAAAUACUCCUGACUGACCGAUAGUGAACCAGUAC